rnacentral:rRNA from 1 species
AAUAGAUCUUUAUAUGAUAAAUGUAAUUAUCAAUUUAGUUGURUUACUUAUAAUUAUAUUGUUAUAUUUUGUUGGGGUGACAUGAAGAUAAAAGUAACUCUUUAUAAUACACACAUUGAUUUAUGGAUAAUUGAUCCGUUAUUAACGAUUAUAAGAUAAAGUUACCUUAGGGAUAACAGCGUAAUUUUUUUUGAGAGUUCUUAUCGACAAAAAAGAUUGCGACCUCGA